GGUUCAAGCGGCUGCCGCCCCCACCCCGGGUCCUCCCCCGAGCCCCCUCCUCGGUCAGCUCCGGGGGAUCCUGAUGCCUCGCGGGGGGGUGGGGUGUAAAUCUUGUCCUUCCCCCCCAAAACCUCCCUGCUGAGCCCCCCGCUCUCCCCCCGAGCUGCUGCCGCGGGUGGGUGGGGAGGUGGUGCGGGGUGGGGAUGUCCCCGCCGGGGAGGGGAUGCAUCGCGGGUGGGAGGAAGACGGUGGUCACCAGCCUGCAGGAGCGCCUGGGGGGGUGGAUGAGUUCUUCUUCCAGCUCAGGGCCGGGUACCGCAGGUGGGGAAGAUGCUGGUGAAAGCUGCCUGCAGCCCUGGGCUCUCUCCGACCAGCCGUGCAUCCCGCAGCCUCUCCCGAGACCCCGGCACAGCUCCCACCCGUGCCACCCCUGGGCAGCAGCAGAGCAUCCCUGGAGCCCAGCGCCGGUUCCAGCCUUACCGCAUCCCGCCGCUCCUUCCCCGGAAAGCAGUGAACCUCUUCCCAUCACCCCCAUCCGCUCAGCUGAGAUGCCCGGGGCAAGGACAGGAGCAAGAGCGACUCGGGCAGAUGGUAAGGAUUGGGAUGUGUGUUCCCUCUGUGGGGUGGGCAUCUGGGCAGCCCCCUCCCCUGCUGCCCUGCACUGCCUGUGCCUUCCGGAGCGCUGAACCUUCACUUGGGCCAGACCUUAAGACACGGGGCCCUUCCCUGCUGGGUGCUCUGGCCGUGCAGUGAUUUUGGGGGGAGUGGGGGGGGAUAUUUGUGGUCAGAGAGGAUCUCUCUGGUUUCUUUAAGUCUCAGGGCAGCCAGCUCUGUGUUCCCACACCACGUGCACGGGGACCGCUGGCGGGUGAGCCCACUCAGGGCGAGCCCCAUCGCCCUCGGGGCAGUUCUCUGCCUCCAGCCCCUUCUGCGAUGCCAGGGAGAUGCUACGGCAGCAUCCGGCUGCCCCAUGGGUUCUACCACCUCUGCCUGCGCUGGCUGGCCCCCUCCCCUCCCCACCCGCCCCCUCACUGGCAGUACCCCAGCCACAUCCCAGGGGCUGACCGCGAGGAGGAUGCUGAGGCCACUCUGGAUGAUGCCGAUUCUGCUUUCAGGUGAGGAGGAGGAGGGAGGACUGCUCUCGGCGCAGGGGCCUGGCUUAUGAGGCAAUGGCCCCGAUACCCCCAGAUCGUUGGAGCAGGGUGUCUCACCAGGUUUGUUCUCUAUCGACGACUCCAGUGAGCAAAUGGACUCCUGAACACCCGACAAAGCAAACCGAGGUGUGGACCCAGGUGUGUGCUGGACUGGGCGGUCCCAGUGAGGGCUAAUUCACCCAGGAGAUGCUGAUGCGGGGUUUUGGCUACAAACCUUACAAGGCGCUCCCGGCCUUGCCGGAGGAGGAAGAGCCGCCGGAGACCAGGAACCUGGAGCCAGAAAGGGCUGCCAAAACGGCGGAGGAGGAGGCUGAGCAGACAUAGGAAACCUCCCGCUGCUGCCUCCUGCCCCAGCCCAGGUCUCCCAGUGUUUUGGUUUUUUUCUGGAGAAAGCAGAGCAGCCAGCUCCACCUGGAGAGCAAAAUCCACACGUGGAGAUCAAGCUGGGUGAGCCAGGGUGCUGGGACAUGGGGUGCCAUCUUUGUGAGCUGCCAGUCACCCCCUCUCCUCUCUUCUAGACUAAUGACUGCUUAGACGAGGAACCAGCAUCCUCCAGAUCUCCACCUGGAGACAGUGAAGCCCCCAAACGUCACGCAGCGGGGUCGUGGAUGGCAGCACGGUCCCUGCCAGCUGUUCCUGAUGGGCUUGAGCUGGCUCCUACCCUGGGCAUGCAGAGCCCGGGCAGCCUUAGGGAUGUGCAGGGUUUGCUCUGACCGGUUGUCUGUGUUUAAUGGAAACCUUUUUGGUAGGAAAUCUUGCAGCCAUGCACGUAUCAGAGACGGGCCAUGGGCCACGUUGGUGCUCUGAGCUGGACGCACAAGUGGGGGACACAUGGGCUUGUUUAGGACGGAGGGACCCAAACGCAGGGGUGGUGCUCGCUGUGCUGCAGGCUGCCCGGCAGCUUGGAGUUGUCUCUGGAUGCUGCUGUGCCCGUAGCGCGUCUCUUUGCUGCAGUUACCAGCUCCACCCCGUGCCAGCCCUGUAAUUGGUUUCCAACCCCUCGUCCUGCGCAGCAGCGGCUCAUCCCAGGACACGGACAGCAGCAGGGAGGGCUCCUGCAGCCUCUCCAUGUGCUGAAAGGCACCAGCUCAGGAUGGAAUUCACUGUAUCCAACUGUAAAAUUGUCUUUCUCGUGCUUUGCUGAA